rnacentral:lncRNA from 1 species
ACAGCAAGGCUCUGCCUCAUGGAUCAUAGAUAAAAAUAGCUACUGUCUGCUGGUGCCAGGUACUUUUCAUGAUCUGUCACUGAGAGCUCACAGCCAAUUUCAUGAGACGGUGCUACAUUAUCGUGCCUUCUUGCAUGAGGAAUUCAAGGCCACAUGCGGUUUCGUCACUUGUCAAAGGUUAGUGUUGCUGAGGUUAGAACUGGGUCCCACUUUGAUCUGAUUCCAAAGCCUGAUCCCUUAACUAGUGUGUGGAGCUGACUGCAGGGAGACUGCUACACCCAGGAAGAGCUGCAGCUGUCUCAGGUCUUAAAACCAUUCAUCGGGAGAACUAGGAAAGGACACCUCUGGGCCUGCCUGUGAGCUGCUGCUAGAGAAGAUUAGCCGAGAACUGAGUGAAUGAGAGCCACCUUGAGAGGAGUGCCAUCUAACAGGCUGGAGGUCCGGGUGACGUGAGAAAGUAGAAAGGGGAAGCAAGCCCUGGAUUAUGAGUUUCUUCCCCAGUGGGUGUGGUUUGAUGCUGCCGAUUCAGAUGAACAUCACACUCCAGCAUCACACUCCAGCUUCUUCAGCCUUUGACAGACCUGCAGCAGUGAGAUGCAAGGACCUUGGAGGCCCUCACCCUCAGACCCAGGACAACCGUUGGCUUCUCAGUCUCUGUUCUCACAAGCAUCUUGUUCUGCGUUCCCUAGCUGACACCCAGCUCUCCAAUCUACAGAGGACUGCUGUGGCCCCACAGAGUACUCCAGACUAUUAGCUUCCUCUUGUUAUUGUAUAUAUUCCUUACCCUUAAUGGUCCCAAUACAAGGGUGAAUUAUCACUCUUCUCAGAUCUGUCACCAUCAAUCCAAUAAUGAAGAGAACCAUUUUCAUCUGAAUAAGCAAUUAACCUCCAAGGGGCAGCGUGGAACCAAGGUCUACAGUGGCUGCUGAGGUCAGACUUGAAGAAAUGACUCACAUGCAAGGCUGAUCUACAUAAGUAGCCUGUGCUAAGACUGCCAUCUGGUAGAACAAUCUACAUCACACGACUCCACGUUUCCUGUUACCCAAGGACAGUGAACCUCUAUCUGCACACAGCUUAUGAGCCAGAUGCAUGGGUCUUACUCCAUUAACUGGAACUAUGGUGCUCAGUGCUGAGAGAGUUCAUCGCAAGCCGAAGCUAUUGGACUUGCCACAGAGGGAAGCAGCAGCUGACAGUCACUGGCACAUCCCUCCAGCACCGACUGUGUUACCUAGCCAUCUGGAGCUCAAGAUUAAGGCAGGUUUGAUGAGAGAGCUGUGACCUGUGGACCUCCUGAGAAAAUGACAAUGAGGGGGUACCUGAUAUACACUUCAGGACAUAAUAACCUGUGGCUGGCGAAAAACUCUCCCAAAUUGCAUAUAAUUUACAAUGUGUGUAAUUUAAGUAAAUAGGUACUUCUCAAAAAAUUUUUUUUCUGUUCAUGGUACUCUCAUGUUGUAAAAACAAAACAAAACAAAACAAAACAAACAAACAAAAACAAAAACAAAGCUCGGCCUCUUGUUAGUUCUUUGUUUCUUCAAGAUUUAGAGAACAAAAUAAGAAGUAAAUGGUGAUACUACUCAAAAGUAACGUUUAUUCACCUUUCACCUGGAGAGCCCCUGGGUCAUAUUUUGAGCAAUAUACACAUCAUCUUCAUUCAGGCAGAGUUGAUUCCUGAAUCUAUGAAGAGAAGGUGAAGGAAGCAUUUCUCUAAUAAGUCCUAAGAAAAUGAGCUUAGCUGCAUAGAAUGGUGUGGCACAGCCUCAGAAAGGCAUUGUUUAGAUGGGAGCAUCACCGUUUGAGCCACAGUGGACUAAAGAAGGACUCUUCCUCAGGGACCUCCAGGGUUGGAUUGACAGAGAUGUAAUUUUUAAAAGUAGAGUCAGACUCCGAUAAUCAAUCUCUCUCUCUCUCUCUCUCUCUCUCUCUCUCUCUCUCUCUCUCUGUGUGUGUGUGUGUGUGUGUGUGUGUCCAUGCACAUGUGCACAUGCAUCAAGCAUCUUCUUCAUUCAUUUGCCACCCUGUUGUUUGAGACAGAGUCUCCCACUGGACAUAGAGCUCACUAAUUAACUAGACUGGCUGACUGACCUGUAAAACCCACAGACCCUCUUUCUCUGCAUCCCCAGCACUGACAUUACAUUUGGCUUUUCACAGGGACACUGGAGACCAAGUUUAUGUUCUCUAGCUUGUGCAGUAGCCCCUAGAACCUUCUUUCCAGUCUUCCAGGAGACUUUCAGUCUCUCAGUUCCCAGUGGUGACCAUGGCCUGCGAGUCCUAUCCUUAUUGCAUAAAUCUCUAAAGUCCCAGGGACUUCUCUAGUGAUUUAACAAAAAGGCAAAUAAAAAGGUGCAGCCACUCUCAAGGCAAAAGUAAAAAGUAACAACAGUGACAAGGGUCACUGCAGAGUUGUCAUUGAUGCCAACUGCAAGACAAUCUCAGGGUUGCAGUUAAGGUAAAGGUAAGCUUGGCUUUGGGAUCUACUUCAAAAUCCAGGAGUCCAUCUGAUAUAGUCAGCUUUACUCCCUGGAGACAUCUACCACCAUGGCUCUGGGAAGCCAGCCUGCAUGUCACAUUUCCCUUCGGCUGAUGUACAGAGAGGAUGACCCCCACUGACCACUGUGUAUGUCCCAUCUCAUGCCAGUGGGGCUGAGGGGAACAGAGAGUGCUAAAACAAAAGGAAGGCUCAUCUCACAGUGGAGUAACGAGACCUCCACAGUCCAUGGGCAGACUCUUAGUUCUAUCAUCCACACUGGAGAGGAUGCUUACAGCAGUCAUGGGUCAACGUGCAAAACCUUCCAUUCCCAUGGCAAACAGUAUUCGAAAGAGGAGCAAUGUACAAUUAAGGUUUGUUGGGAUUUUUAUUUUCUUUUCACAUGUGGCAAUAUUUAUCUUCAAAGUUUCCCCUCUGGCUCCCAGGCUCCUUUACGAAGCAGCUGGUCCUCUGGGGCCUCAUUGUGACAUGACUCGUGUGAUUCGGUAGCUUAUUUGUCCAGUGGUCGGGUGGAAUUUGUAAACUGCAUACUAUUGUUCUAGACUGUUUUCUCUUUAGUAAGAAGCCACCAUGCUUUCUCCAGCAUUCAAGACUGGGAUUCGAAUUAGUGGAGCACUUGAGAUAUUUCUAUCCCGACUUCGACUUCCUCUGCUCAGUAAUGACAUUAAACAAAACAAAUUAUCGCAAUUAAACAGAGAGAUGGCAAUGGGGCCUGGAAAGAGAAGUGGACUGGGAGAUUAAGAUGUGAUCCGGCUUCGUUUUCCGGAGGAGAGCUUGUUAACAAACGCUCAGAUCUAACUACUACAAGCUGUGAGCAUCUUCUAAUUAGUCCUGGCUGUUCUCGGGAAAACAAAGUAAAAUAUGGAGUCUCUUAAAACAGGCCUCUUUGGCUAACUUUGUCCCUAAACAGACAUUAAUAAAUGCUCUCAGUUACUUGUGACACUUUCAUCUCCAUGCUCUGCAGGUGCAGCUUCGAUGGACCAUGGCCAUAUUGCCCCACUACUAUCAAUCACACUGAGAUGUAGUCCACAGCAUUCAACAAGCCACCACUCAUGGGAUAGAGGAUAGGCAAAAGGAACAACUAAGACAGUAGAGGAGCCCAGCACUCCGAACCCCUAAUCAUGCCUUCGGUGGAUUCCUUUGGUAAAGUUUUCCUUUGUGGGUUUCUUUCAGCACUUGACCCAUAGCCCAUGGAAUGUGUCAGCUCUAAUUGCCUGUGUGGAUUGGCACAAGUCGUGCCUCAAAAUUGGAAUGUUGUCACAUAUAACAUAGCCUUUCAGAGGGAUAAAUGUGGAAAAUGUUUUACCCAUGAAUUCCUUAGAAGCAAUUGUGCUCUAUCACGUGAAAGGCUGAAGACCUGGACAGAACCUAAUGACUAUAUCCCCAAGAUCCCCAAGGUUCAGUGGCUUUCAGGAUGUUGCUCUCCCUGACUCCAUGGACAUCACAGAAUGACAGUUGUCCACUGGAGUAUUCUUCACCCAGGCAGCUUUCUAAAAAAAGGAAAUUUGAGAGUUGCAAGGACAGAUGAAGGGGCUGAGGGCCUGGGAUCCCUUUAUGUGAGACUCAUUAUUGAAGAACAACUUAUACAAUUAUUAUCUGAGGACCAGGUGACAGCUGUCAAGAAGGCCUCCUUGUAAGAGGGUGCAGAAUAUAUGAAAUUUGUCUUUAGGUGAUGAUCUACUACUAAGAGUGAUGCUAUGAGGUUGGCAUCUAAGGAAAAGAAAAGAGGCUGGCAUAUGGAAUACUAUUCCGUGAGCCCCUUUGGAAAUAACUACUCAUGCUCCUCAACAGCUCUGAGUUCCAUUGACAGGGGUGAAUUGUAAGCCCCGUUGUUCUAAGGCAUGGAGCUACAGAAGACUGACUUGUUUGGAAAUAGACUCAUUGCUUGUAGGGCUAAGGGAUGGCUCACCAGGUAAAGAUGCUUGCCACCAAACCUGACAACCUGUGUUCAACCCCAAGGACCCACCUGCCACAAGUUGUCCUUUACCUACACACACAGAAAAAAAAAAUCACAAAAACAGAACAAAACCAUCUUCAACAAUAGUUGUCUUUUGUCAUUAUUGCUUUUUGUAGUUUUUGGUAUUGACUAGGCUUUGGCCGGUGGUUUCUGUCAGAAGCCCUUUGAGUAGUUUAAGGAAGUCAGUGGGCCUGAUGGAAGCAUGUGCAGCCCUCUUCAUUUACUGAUUCAGGGCUGAUGUGACCGUCAGCUUGGACCUUAGCUGUGCAUGCUGGCUUGAGUCAUAAAAACAUGGUUUCUUCAGAUAGCUUGAGCUUCCUAAAGCGCAAUGGCCAGUUUUCUUGCAGGAGCGUCUCAAGAGAAGCAGGUGAAAAUUAUAUGAUUAUCUUUCAUGACCUAAUCCUAGUACUGAGGAGUGCAGCUUCUAUUGUUGCCUCAGGCCAGUUCCAUCUGUACUAAGAGGAGUCUCAACCUUAUAUAAGGUGAGGACUCAGGGAGAGCCUGACACAGCAGCCAACGUUAGAAAUCCAGGGGCUUUCCUGAAGCUAUAAUAAUCCCUCCUUUUGACUCCCCACUUUCUAUACUAUAGACAUCAGGGCCAGCUGGCAUCACCUAAAUUGUUGCAGAUACAUUUGAGGUACAGGGGAAGUCCCUACAUGUACAGCUCCCCUGAGCACUGUUUCUGACAUGGAGACCAGGGGAGCAUACCCCACCAGGACAGAAAAAUAUGUUUUCUUUCUGAAAAUGAAGUGAAGUAUCACAAGCAAGUAGGGAAAGGGGGUUGGAGGGAACUGGAUGCUCUUAGCUGAUGAGGAGGAAGAAGCCAGUUAGCUUCUGCACUGCUGUAGCCAGACACCGGAGAGAAAUAAUUUAAAGGAAGGGAUGACCCCGGCUCGCAGGAUGAGAGAUUCUUGUCACUGCAGGGAGGGUCAGCAAAGCAGAACAGCCCACCACCUUAGUCAAUGUCUCUCUUUACUGAGGACGUCACUGAGGCCUUGGUUGCAAAGUGGCAUUACAACCCUAGCAGUGCCUCUCAUCGAUUCAACUAAUGUACUUUUAAUAUACUUUAUGUUUAUCUAUCUUCUUAUUUAUCUA